UGGACUUGUUUGUUUGCUUUUUGGCCUUGAAUGUUUGUCCCUAAUAUUUUAUUAACUGUGCAUUUGCAUUCAGAUAUCGCAGGUCAAAUUUAUUCGUUUAUAGGGUAUUAAUGUACGUUUUUUGAUUGAGUUAAGCUUGCCAAUUGAUAUUUUAUAGUGUGUUUUUCUAUGUUGUGAUGUUAUGCUAUUGUUUCAGAAAAAGGGAGAAGGUUUGGAUCCAUUAAAACGUUUAAUCCCGCUGCAAAUGUUUGCACCUGUCCUAAGUCAGGAAUCUGAUAUACAGUAGUUGUCGUUUGUUUAUGUAAUUUAUACGUGUUUCUUGUUUCUCGUUUUUUUAAUUUUAUAUAGAUUAGACCGUUGGUUUUCCCGUUUGAAUGGUUUUACACUAGUAAUUUUGGGGCCCUUUAUAGCUUGUUGUUCGGUGUGUGCCAAGGCUCCGUGUUGAAGGCCGUACAUUGACCUAUAAUGGUUUACUUUUUUAAAAUUGUUAUUUGGAUGGAGAGUUGUCUCAUUGGCACUCACACCACAUCUUCC
rnacentral:lncRNA from 1 species